UACCAAAGUAUAGUCUAAAUACUUCUUAUUGUUGCAGAUGUGAGGGAAACCAGGUUUGCUAAAGUAACUGUAGUGAUAGAAGUCGAUUAACUUCAGAUUCUACUGAGGUUGUCUAUUCUAUCCUAGGACAUGU